rfam:Picea glauca, whole genome shotgun sequence.
ACAUGCCUAUAGUAUAGCCUUAAUGCAUUGGAUCCCAUUAGAACUCUGUAGUUAAGAGCACUCAGGCUAGAGUAGUACUCAUAUGGGUGACUGCCCGAAAAGUCCCAUUGCUUUACAUGCC